ACAGUGCUCGGUUUGGGAACGGCUUUGGGUUUGUGUGCACUUCUGAUUUUCUGUCUUACUUAUUUCAUACUGAGGACAAGAAAAUGUGAUAAAAUAAACACUUCUAUAGAAGAUUGUCCAGGAUUGAGGCAGGAAUCUCAUGCUGACAGCUUGACUUAUGAAGCUUUGCAACUGUUAAAGAGGAAAGUCAAACCUGGAGGAAGGGACUCUGUGGUGUUCACUGAUGUGAUGUAUGUGAAACUGUAAUAAAAAUCCAGAACACGUUAUUAUGAACUAAACCGCUGCCAUGCUGCAGGUUUUAAUGCUGUAGAUAUGUUUAAUGAUGUUGAUAUGAUGUUGAUAUUCCACCAUUCAUCCUGUCAAGUGUGCAUUAUUAUUAUUAUUAUUAUUAUUAUUAUUAUUAUUAUUAUUAUUAUUAUUAUUAUUAACAAUCAAUUUAAUUUAUGAAAAUCUUAAAUGUCUGUAUGAUUUCACCCAAAUAGUGAGUAAAAUAAAAGUGAUGCACUUCUGUUAUCUGAUUCUGUCUAUUGUAGAAGACCCAAAAAAUAUGAUUAAAAAAAAAACUAACAAACUGAAGAGAUAGCUAAACAGCUUGUCAGAAAGGGCAACACCCUCACUGAAGAAGGGUAAAAAGGGCUAUGAAAAAAUAUUGAUAUUUGUGCUUAAUUUGCUUAACAUCUCACAAAAAAUAUGAGAGACAUUAAAAUUUAAAUUAAAAGUAAAAUUUAGAAAUAUCUAUUUUCGAUAAGGGAAUUAUUUUCUGACAAUAAAUUUACUUUUUUGUUUAUUCUGGUCUCUAGUGCCUUUGCCCCUUUUGUUAAAGUACAACACAGUGAUUAUCACAGUACGUUUAUAACGUUUAGAUUGAUGUCACAUGACUGAUACUCAGAUGUCACAUGACUGAUGCUAAUUGUCUUGUACUGUGUGUUAUUAUGUGUUAAUAUACGCCAUAUUCUACAAAUGAGAGUCAGUCAAAAUCUGGGGAUUUUUUUUCCUAUUUAAAAUUCGAAGUAUAAAGAAAGUUUUAGAGUUUUGAAAAAUGCAAAAGAAAGAAAGAAAAUGUUUACUGACGCCGUCAUUAAAGCAAAAGAGGGAUGCAAAAAAAGAAAGACAUUCUGAAACUUACGUAAAUAUUUCUAAGAUUUUAUUUUUUGCUCAAGUUAAUGCUGAAAAUAUCAUUUGUAAUGAGAAGGUUUGUAUUAAAUUAGAAAAUCCUGCAAAAUUAAGCAUUUUCACUAGUUAUCUCAGACUUUUAGAUCCCACUGUAUACAUGCAGACACAGCUAUUAGCAAAACUGCUGUAUACAUAAUGAUAAGCCAUGUGAUAGAGUGUUCCUGUUUCCUUUUCAGCAUGCUUUGAUUGUAAAAUCUCUUCUGGAUAAAGUGCUUAUAAAUACAGAUACAUUAUCGUUUCUUUUGAUCGAGAUUUCUAUUAGUAUUUACUCAAGAUUGUGUAAGAAGGUGAAUUAAGAAAGAAUUGUGAGUGCAGAAGUAAACCACAUUUCCACUGUGUCAUAUUUGUCAUGAUAUCUCUGUACAACACCAAAACAUAGUUUCCCCAAAGUAUAGUAUGUAUUAUAUACUGUAUGGGUAAUUCUGUUUUUCUCUACAUACAUGUUAAUUGUUAAUGUUAAUAAUGUUGAAUUAUGCAGCUUUUCAUUUCU